CUUUCUUUCUAAGGGCUGCACCUGCAGCACAUGUAAGUUCCCAGGCUAGGGGUCAAAUCAGAGCAGUAACCACUGGCCUACACCACAGCCACAGCAACGCAGGAUCUGAGCCAUGUCUGCAAUUUAACACCACAGCUCAUGGCAACACUGGAUCCUUAACCCACUGAGUGAUGCCAGGGAUCAAACCCACAACAUCAUGGAUACAAGUCGGGUUUGUUACCACUCAGCCACAAUAGGAACUCCCAAUAUGCCUUUUCUUUAUCCAUUAAUCCACUGAUGAAUGUUUAAGUCAUUCCCAUAUCAUGGCUAUUGUAAAUAACCAUGCAAUAAACAUGGGUGAAUUUUUUUUUUUUACACACCAUAAAUAUUUUACAGAUGACUUCUUGGAAACUUCAAAGACAGAAGCAGUCCAUAUAAUAUGUGAGUUAUUCAGAGGACAGAAAAACAUGCAAGGCUAUCCAGUUCACAUCAUCAAGCUAACAGAAGAUCAUUAGACCAAUGUGUAAAAAAAUACACCACAAAACAAACUGGAGAACAGACUUGUGGUUACCGAGGCGGAGAGGGAGGGAGUGGGAUGGACUGGAAGUUUGGAGUUAGCAAAUCCAAACUAUAGCUUUUGGAAUUGAUGAGCAAUGAGAUCCUUCUGUGUAGCACAGGGAACUAUAUCUAAUCACCUGUGAUGGAACAUGAUGGAGGAUAAAGUGAGAAAAAGAAUAGAUACGUGUGUAUACCUGGGUAAUUUUGCCAUACAGCAGAAAUUGACAGAACAUUGUAAAUCAACUAUAACAAAAAAAAAUUUUAAAAAAACCCUCGACAUGGUUCUAUCUUUUUGUGGCCACAGCAAAGCAUAUGGAAAUUCCUGGGCCAGGGAUCAAAUGAGUCAUAGCUGUGACAUUCACGACAGCUGCAAUGCUGGAUCUUUAACCUGCUGCACUGGGCCGGGGAUCAAACUUGUGCCUCAGCAGUGACUGGAGCCACUGCAGAGGCAACCCAGAUGUUUAACCCUCUGUGCCAUAGCAGGAACUCCCAGUUGUUCUAUUUUUAAUUUUUUGAGGAACUUCUUACUGAAUUUCUAAUUUCAAUGUUUCACAUUUUAAAGAACUUAAAGGAAGUUCAAACAUUAUGAUGAUCAAAUAUUAAAAUUUAUACGAAUACAUGAAAGUGGACUAAGAAAACACAAAUAUUUAUCUAUCUUUACCAUUCUACAUGAUAGGAAGAUGUGGUAUUAUCCACAAUGUAAUGUAGUAAACAAUGAAACUGCCCAUCUGGUUGAGAGAUUACAGUUUGACUGGUUUGUAAAUAUGUUGAAUGAAUGAAUGAAUGAAUUCCCACUGGAUUCGGUACCCUUCCUCUCAUGGGCUCUCUUAGUUGGAUAAAUAAAGCACCAAAACAAGAGCAGCAGGGCCAUCUUGGCAAAGCAGAGUGCAAGCUUUCAGGAAGACUAGAAGAGCUUCAGGGAGCCAUGCGAUGGUUGUAGAGAGUUAUUUUUUUGAAGAACAUACUCCUGAACACAUUCAUAACUCCUAUGAUAUAGAAAAGCUACAAAUAUAUAACAUCCUGUUCAUCCCUUAAGUUUACGUAUUUUAUGGAGACAUGUUAAGUAUAUUCCACAGUGGAGUCUAGCAAUAUCUUAUAGCCAAGCACAGUCAUGAAAUCACUACCUCCCGACAUAGGUGGGUUUGUAGUAGGAUUUUUGAAAAAAAUACUUAACUUCUUUCCACACUUUAUGGCUUCUAAUUACCAUCUCUACACUCUGGUUUAAAUCUCUUAUCUAAAUAACCAAUAUUACUUUUCCUUCCUCUCUGCUUAGCUCAUCAGGAUCCCAGUACUGAAAUGUCAAUGGAAAAGUACAGGGCAUAGCAUUUGCAUAUGUCUUUAAUAAGACAUAUAUUUGACCUUAAAUCAGUCAUUCAACCUCCUUCCUCUCUCCCUUAAUUUUUAGAAUGACCAAAAAGUGAAGUGCCACGUCUUUGCUCUUUAAUUUGAAGAUUAAAAAAAAUAAAAUAAAAAAAUGUUAUGAUGUAAUGAAGUGUAUGGGAAAAAAGCAGCUUUAAAAACACAUUAUCAUGAUCAACAAAUAACCACAGAUCAUUUGAUUAAAAACAAACAAUUAAUAAGGAAGGCAAAUAUCCUCUUUAACUUAAAAGAUUAAAAGGCACUGAGUCAAAAAUUAUAUCUUGAGACAAAUGAGCAAACAUCUUCUGACUAUAGUUACUUGUUAUGUUUCUAAAGACUAAGAAAUAAGCAGUCUUAAUUUAGAGGCUGUUUAUUAUUUCAAAUGGGCAGUGAUGUCUCAAUAUAUAAGCACUUCUUUGUUUUGCUCUUUAUAAAAAAGAAGAGACAAAUUUCUGUCUGAUCCAUUUCAAUCUGUUUUCUUCUGUUACUAGAAUUAUUACAUUCUAAGGCAAUUCUAAGUCACAAGAAGUUGUAGCUGUAAUAGGAAAUUAAAUAUAGCAAUUAACCUAAGGCUGCUUAUAAUUGAUAGCAUAAAACUGCAUCCUCGUAUUGUGACAUUACUAAUUAAAAAACAAAUGCAUAAACAAAAUGUAAAUAAGCACAAGUCAAACAUUCCCAGUGCAUUAGAGCCUAACAGGAAAAUGAUGCUAUACUGCUAAAACAUGUGUUACUGAUUAUUCAGGGAUACUAAAAAUUCAAGUCUCUCCUCAUCAACUAACCCUCACCUGUGAGCCCAAGCCUGGAACAUUUAACAUCAUCUUAGUAUCAGACAUUUUCUUUGUAGUAAAUUAAAAAAUUUCUAGAAGUUUCUCAAAGUCAUGGAUGUCAAAAGAAUCCUAUCAUAGCACUUUCUGAUUUAUCUUAAAUUUUAAGAUUGCAGAUAAUGUGGUUUUACAGUGCUAGAAGUUUAUUUGUUGCUUAGUCUAUUAUAGAAAAAUUUGGAAUAGGGUGGGUAUUGGGGGUACUAUACUCUUUUUUAUCUUUGAAAAAUCUUUAUAAGAACUUAAAAUAGAUAAUGCAACCGGGUUUUGAUUAACUUGGGUAGCUGUUUAUAUAAUGUACAUUUGUUAUCUUUCCUCUUUUCUACCUAGUUGGUAUAUGCCAUUUAAGGGAUGACUAAACAUUAUUUGUAGGCUCUACUUUCAAAAAAACGACUAGAGUUUUUAAAUAAACAGUUUUGAUUUGUCAUAAGAAGCAAUCACUGGAGUCAGUGAUUUAGAAUCAGUUGAUUUUCUAUCAACUAAAAAUUAAGUGAUGCAUGUAUUUGCUGUUUUGGUUAUUUGCUGUGUGGAAAGGAACUGGUCUCCUAUUUUGAACUGAAACUACACUGCACAAAUCCAAACUUCAGUAUGGAUUUGAAAGAGAGAUUUGAUUUCCCACCAUUUGACUAAUUAAAAAAUGUUAAUUCUUAAAAUUCAUACCCACAUUUAAUGGAUUUCAAACAUGGUACCAAGUUAUUGCUUUGCUAUCAAUAUAAUACUACCAGUCCUAAAGAAAAAAGAAAAACCUUCAGAAUAACAAUGAAUUGAUUUGCUUAACCUAGAAAGAUUAGGAUCAUGUAAACCACUGAGUUCUUCCUGUUUGACCACAAUGAGUGAUGUUUCCUUAGAACUAAAACAUAAAUGAACAUUUCUGCCAGAGUUAUUUUAGAGGGUUAUGCUGUGUUGUAUGAGCCAAGAGAAGUAACUUGCUAAAAUGCAAGUAACUAUAAGUUCUGAAUUGCAUAUUAAGGGGUAUUGCAUUGUCAUCAGUAAAAAGAGAAAUUUAAAAUAUGGAACUCCAAUUGGCUUCCAUGUGAGUUAGUCCUAAAAAACCAUAGCACACAAUGGGUGGAGCAAUGAAUGGGUGAGUGGAUGGAUGCUUGGAUGAAUGAAUGGGCAUACCAUAAAUAUUGCUGCUUUACUGUCUAUGAAUUGCUACCCCUUGAUUUUGGUAAAUUGUUUUUUUCUUUUUAUGGCCACAUCUGCAGCAUGGGGAAGGUCCUGGGCUAGGGGUCAAAUUUGAGCUGCAGCUGAAGCCUACACCACAGCCAGAGCAACAUGGAACCACCCCACCACAUCUGCAACCUACACUGCAGCUUGUGGCAAUGCCAGAACCUUAACCCACUGAGCAAGGCCUGGGAUCAAACUCUCAAUCUCAUGGACACUUUAUCAGUUUCUUAACUGGCAAAUCCACAAUGGGAACUCUGAUUUAGUAAGUUGAAGUAAUCUCAACAGUAAUUACAAAACUGAGGACUAGACAGAAUGAUAUUAAUAGAAUUUAAAAAUCUCAAUGUGAGCCCAGAUACUAAAAGAUGACUCAACAAAAGACAAUGAAAAGCACCAAGAAGUCAAAAGGGACAAACCAAAAAAUAGCAUGCAACUACAGUUACAGAGCACUACUCAAUUUCCACCUCUAACUCUUCAAAAAAGAGAAAAAACAGGUAUUCAUGCACAAAGUAGUAGCCUCUACUCCUUGGCUUUUUAAAAAACUGAGUAAUCAGAAAUAAUUCAAUGCACGAAAACAACUGAUAACAGACUCAGUCACCACCUAAUAUGAUAUUAGAAUAACAUCAACAUAAACAAGAGCUUCUGUAUAGUACGUAACAAUGAUAGGUAAUUUUAUUUUAAUUAAAUGUCAGUGUGAAAAUUCCAUUCAUAUUUCUCAUGGUAACGAUGCAGACCACGUAUAAAAGAAUCCAAGCAGCUGUUUGAAUUUGGUAUUUUCAUUCCCAGAUAUUGCUCCUGCUGGUAUUCUGAUUGGAGUUUACUCAUUUUAACAUUAAAAAGAUCAAGUUUAAUUUUUGACAUACUGUGUAGUACUAUCAAUAUGAUAUAAGACAAUCAUACAGAAAACCACUUUGCACAGUCAUUACUGAAUGGCAUAUUUGCACUAGUACUUUGCCACAAUUACAUAUCAAAUAGCAGCCAAGGAAUUUCUUUGAAUUUGGCUCAGAUUGCCAAAUUACAGGUCCCCUUUUUUACUAGAAGUCUGAUUUAGAAGCAGUGUGAGGAUCAGAAGCCCCAGGAAAUGCUUUAGGUUCUUAGCUGCUGCAGUCAGGAGCAGUAGCUUGCUACAAAUUAGAAAUGCAUCUGCUGUGCUCUUGGGUCACUAGCUUCUGCUCCAUUUCAGCUCCCACAUACUUCCUCUUUAGGGCACAAACUACAAAACACAUAUGGCAGCCCUGAGAGCACUGCUAAAAACCAUUACACACUCCGGAGACCCAGAACAGAUCCCUAAAAUGGGCCUUCCCAAAAUUAAAGUAGGACAUGUUUCUAAUAUUUCAAUGACCAGUGGAGAGAUAUCUUACAAUGAUCGUAACCAAAACAAUGCACUCAACUUUUUCCAGUGAUGGCACACAUUUCUUCUCACUAUUGAGUUAUCUAAACUGUACUCAAUACCUAAAAUGAAGCCCAAUAUAAAUACUGGGUAUGAAAGAUAGUCUAUGGUUUUGUAUUUACUUUAAAAUAACUUUUUUUCCCUAAAAGUUGAUGGAGGGUAUAUGAUUUGAGAUUGGCAAAUUGCUUAUAAUUUCAUUUUUCUCUCAAUUGUUUUCCAUUUGAAAAUAAAGAGAUUUAAAGAUUAUGCUUGUUUGUCCCUUCCUUUCCUAAAUCCACACCUGUCUUUUUUUUUUCAAAUCCCUGUGCCUUCCCACUCCCAUAAUACACACACACACAGCACACACACAUACACUUGGACACAGCUGCUUCCAUCUCUGAACCCCAAUAGCAUUAUUUUAUUGCCUAUAACUCUAGAUUAUAUUCUGUGAAUUUACUUAUUUCACCCUUAGAAAUUAAACUAUUGAGAACAAAACUAGUCCACCAUAAGAACCGUGUCUUCUAUAGUACAGAAAAUUGUUAGCUUUUGCUGAAUAAUAAAUUUACUAUAUGGCCAUAUAGAUAUUGGGGAGGGGAAAUUUUUUUUCUGUUUGAAUAUCAAGUAUGUUUCCAGAGAUGACUUUCUAGUGACAGAAAUAGAGUAAUAGGUUAUAACAGCCAAGAAAUAACAACAGUAAUAAUAACGGUGGUGAUAAUAAAAUAAUGGUAACGACAUAGAGCUCAACAGCCAUGGUUUGCCGUUUGGGAACUGUGUGGUUUGGUCCACACUUUAUCUCCAGUUCAUCACUCCUAUACUCAAGAGCCCAUAUGUUAUA
rnacentral:lncRNA from 1 species